UACGUAGGGUGCAAGCGUUAAUCGGAAUUAUUGGGCGUAAAGAGCUCGUAGGCGGUCUGUCGCGUCGGCUGUGAAAUCUCGGGGCUCAACCCCGAGCCUGCAGUCGAUACGGGCAGACUAGAGUGCUGUAGGGGAGACUGGAAUUCCUGGUGUAGCGGUGAAAUGCGCAGAUAUCAGGAGGAACACCGGUGGCGAAGGCGGGUCUCUGGGCAGCAACUGACGCUGGAGGAGCGAAGGCGUGGGGAGCGAACAGG
rnacentral:rRNA from 1 species